rnacentral:rRNA from 1 species
UACGAAGGGGGCUAGCGUUGCUCGGAUUGACUGGGCGUAAAGGGCGCGUAGGCGGUUCGUACAGUCAGACGUGAAAUUCCUGGGCUCAACCUGGGGGCUGCGUUUGAUACGUGCGGACUUGAGUGCGGAAGAGGGUCGUGGAAUUCCCAGUGUAGAGGUGAAAUUCGUAGAUAUUGGGAAGAACACCGGUGGCGAAGGCGGCGACCUGGUCCGAUACUGACGCUGAGACGCGAAAGCCAGGGGAGCGAACGGG